rnacentral:rRNA from 1 species
CACGUAGGGCGCAAGCGUUGUCCGGAAUUAUUGGGCGUAAAGAGCUCGUAGGUGGUCUGUUGCGUCCGCUGUGAAAACUCGGGGCUUAACCCCGAGCCUGCAGUGGAUACGGGCAGACUAGAGGUAGGUAGGGGAGAAUGGAAUUCCCGGUGUAGCGGUGAAAUGCGUAGAUAUCGUAAGGAAGACCAGUGGCGAAGGCGGGUCUCUGGACAGUUCCUGACGCUGAGGCACGAAGGUCAGGGGAGCAAACGGG